rnacentral:rRNA from 1 species
GGCCAGCCCCCUGGGAUAACACUGACGCUCAUGUACGAAAGCGUGGGUAGCAAACAGGAUUAGAUACCCUGGUAGUCCACGCCCUAAAACGAUGUCAACUGGUUGUUGGGGGAGUGAAAUCCCUUAGUAACGAAGCUUACGCGUGAAGUUGACCGCCUGGGGAGUACGGUCGCAAGAUUAAAACUCAAAGGAAUUGACGGGGACCCGCACAAGCGGUGGAUGAUGUGGAUUAAUUCGAUGCAACGCGAAAAACCUUACCUACCCUUGACAUGUCCUGAAUCCUGCAGAGAUGCGGGAGUGCCCGAAAGGGAAUCGGAACACAGGUGCUGGAUGGCUGUCGUCAGCUCG